CAAAUACUCCCUCCGUCCGGAAAUACUUGUCAUUGAAAUGGAUGUAUCUAAAUGUAUUUUAGUUCUAGAUACAUCCAUUUUCAUCCAUUUUGAUGACAAGUAAUUCCGGACGGAGGGAGUACUAC
rnacentral:pre_miRNA from 1 species